rnacentral:pre_miRNA from 1 species
AUAGUACUCCCUCCGUCCUAAAAUACUUGUCGGAGAAAUGAAUAAAAAUGGAUGUAUCUAAAACUAAAAUAUGUCUAGAUACAUCCAUUCCUUCGACAAGUAUUUUCGGAAGGAGGGAGUAGUUG